rnacentral:lncRNA from 1 species
UGAAAUAGAAAAAGGGAGAAGAAAGAGGAGAGGCAACAACAUGCAUGAACGACUCAAGUUGGAUUUGAUGGAUAAGUAUUAAUACGUAUUUUGGGAGUGUUGCUUCAUAUUACUACAAGAACACCUGCUAGCUACUGUCGCUUCGUUGUCGGGCGAAUCCCAUCAGCCACUCAUAUAUAAUAUAUCAGGUGCUAUCUUUUCC